UGUCUAAUCCGGGAAUCGAACCCGGGUCGUAGCGGUUGAAAACCAACGGUUUAGACCACCCUUCCACCGAC
rnacentral:tRNA from 1 species